AUUAUACCGUGAAACUGCGAAUGGCUCAUUAAAUCAGUUAUCGUUUAUUUGAUAGUACCUUACUACUUGGAUAACCGUGGUAAUUCUAGAGCUAAUACAUGCUGAAAACCCCAACUUCGGGAGGGGUGUAUUUAUUAGAUAAAAAACCAACGCCCNUUCGGGGCUUCUUGGUGAUUCAUGAUAACUUUACGGAUCGCAUGGCCUUGCGCCGGCGACGGUUCAUUCAAAUUUCUGCCCUAUCAACUUUCGAUGGUAAGGUAUUGGCUUACCAUGGUUUCAACGGGUAACGGGGAAUUAGGGUUCGAUUCCGGAGAGGGAGCCUGAGAAACGGCUACCACAUCCAAGGAAGGCAGCAGGCGCGCAAAUUACCCAAUCCCGACACGGGGAGGUAGUGACAAUAAAUACUGAUACAGGGCUCUUUUGGGUCUUGUAAUUGGAAUGAGUACAAUUUAAACCUCUUAACGAGGAACAAUUGGAGGGCAAGUCUGGUGCCAGCAGCCGCGGUAAUUCCAGCUCCAAUAGCGUAUAUUAAAGUUGUUGCAGUUAAAAAGCUCGUAGUUGAAACUUGGGUCUGGCUGGCAGGUCCGCCUCACCGCGUGUACUUGUCCGGCCGGGCCUUCCUUCUGGAGAACCUCAUGCCCUUCACUGGGCGUGUUGGGGACCAGGACUUUUACUUUGAAAAAAUUAGAGUGUUCAAAGCAGGCCUUUGCUCGAAUACGUUAGCAUGGAAUAAUAGAAUAGGACGUGCGGUCCUAUUUUGUUGGUUUCUAGGACCGCCGUAAUGAUUAAUAGGGACAGUCGGGGGCAUCAGUAUUCAAUUGUCAGAGGUGAAAUUCUUGGAUUUAUUGAAGACUAACUACUGCGAAAGCAUUUGCCAAGGAUGUUUUCAUUAAUCAGUGAACGAAAGUUAGGGGAUCGAAGACGAUCAGAUACCGUCGUAGUCUUAACCGUAAACUAUGCCGACUAGGGAUCGGGCGAUGUUCUUUUUCUGACUCGCUCGGCACCUUACGAGAAAUCAAAGUUUUUGGGUU
rnacentral:rRNA from 1 species